UACGUAGGGUGCGAGCGUUGUCCGGAAUUAUUGGGCGUAAAGGGCUCGUAGGCGGUUUGUCGCGUCGGGAGUGAAAACCUUGGGCUUAACUCAGGGCUUGCUUUCGAUACGGGCAGACUAGAGGUAUGCAGGGGAGAACGGAAUUCCUGGUGUAGCGGUGAAAUGCGCAGAUAUCAGGAGGAACACCGGUGGCGAAGGCGGGUCUCUGGACAGUAACUGACGCUGAGGAGCGAAAGCGUGGGGAGCGAACAGG
rnacentral:rRNA from 1 species